UACGUAGGUGGCGAGCGUUGUCCGGAUUUACUGGGCGUAAAGGAUGCGUAGGCGGAUUUUUAAGUGAGAUGUGAAAUACCCGGGCUUAACUUGGGUGCUGCAUUUUAAACUGGAAGUCUAGAGUGCGGGAGAGGAGAGUGGAAUUCCUAGUGUAGCGGUGAAAUGCGUAGAGAUUAGGAAGAACACCAGUGGCGAAGGCGGGUCUCUGGACAGUUCCUGACGCUGAGGCACGAAGGUCAGGGGAGCAAACGGG
rnacentral:rRNA from 1 species